rnacentral:rRNA from 1 species
UGAGCAAUCUGCCCUUCUCUUUGGAAUAAGCGUUGGAAACGACGUCUAAUGCCGAAUACGACCUCCUUUCGCAUGAUCGGAGGUGGAAAGCUCCGGCGGAGAAGGAUGAGCUCGCGGCCUAUCAGCUAGUUGGUGUGGGUAACGGCCCACAAGGCGACGACGGGUAGCCGGCCUGAGAGGGUGACCGGCCACACUGGGACUGAGACACGGCCCAGACUCCGUACGGGAGCAGC